UACGAAGGUGGCAAGCGUUGUUCGGAUUUACUGGGCGUAAAGGGAGCGUAGGUGGUUAGGUAAGCCCUCCGGGAAAUCUUCAGGCUUAACCUGAAAAGGUCGGGGGGGACUGCCUGGCUAGAGGACGGGAGAGGAGCGCGGAAUUCCCGGUGUAGCGGUGAAAUGCGUAGAGAUCGGGAGGAAGGCCGGUGGCGAAGGCGGCGCUCUGGAACGUUUCUGACACUGAGGCUCGAAAGCGUGGGGGAGCAAACAGG
rnacentral:rRNA from 1 species